GUGCCAGCCGCCGCGGUAAUACCGGCAGCCCGAGUGAUGGCCGAUCUUAUUGGGCCUAAAGCGUCCGUAGCUGGCUGCGCAAGUCCGUCGGGAGAUCCAUCAGCCCAACUGAUGGGCGUCCGGCGGAAACUGCACGGCUUGGGACCGGAAGACUCGAGAGGUACGUCCGGGGUAGGAGUGAAAUCCCGUAAUCCCGAACGGACCACCGAUGGCGAAAGCAUCUCGAGAAAACGGAUCCGACAGUGAGGGACGAAAGCUAGGGUCUCGAACCGGAUUAGAAACCCUAGUAGUCC
rnacentral:rRNA from 1 species